UACGAAGGGGGCUAGCGUUGUUCGGAAUUACUGGGCGUAAAGGGCGCGUAGGCGGCGACUCAAGUUAGAUGUGAAAGCCCUGGGCUCAACCCGGGAAUUGCGCUUGAUACUGGUGCGCUUGAAUCCAGGAGAGGUUGGUGGAAUUCCCAGUGUAGAGGUGAAAUUCAUAGAGAUUGGGAAGAACACCGGUGGCGAAGGCGGCCAACUGGACUGGUAUUGACGCUGAGGCGCGAAAGCGUGGGGAGCAAACAGG
rnacentral:rRNA from 1 species